rnacentral:rRNA from 1 species
AUACGGAGGCUGCAAGCGUUAAUCGGAAUUACUGGGCGUAAAGCGCGCGUAGGCGGCUGAUUAAGUCGGAUGUGAAAUCCCUGGGCUCAACCUAGGAACUGCAUCCGAUACUGGUCAGCUAGAGUUUUGGAGAGGUAAGUGGAAUUUCCGGUGUAGCGGUGAAAUGCAUAGAGAUCGGAAGGAACACCAGUGGCGAAGGCGACUUACUGGCCAAAAACUGACGCUGAGGUGCGAAAGCGUGGGUAGCGAACAGGAUUAGAAACCCUAGUAGUCC